rnacentral:rRNA from 1 species
GGGCCCGCACAAGCGGUGGAGUAUGUGGUUUAAUUCGAUGCAACGCGAAGAACCUUACCAGGGUUUGACAUCCUGCGAAUCUCUUGGAAACGAGAGAGUGCCUUCGGGAACGCAGUGACAGGUGGUGCAUGGCUGUCGUCAGCUCGUGUCGUGAGAUGUUGGGUUAAGUCCCGCAACGAGCGCAACCCACGUCUUUAGUUGCCAUCAGUUCGGCUGGGCACUCUAAGGAAACUGCCGGUGAUAAGCUGGAGGAAGGUGGGGAUGACGUCAAGUCCUCAUGGCCCUUACGGGCUGGGCUACACACGUGCUACAAUGGCGGUUACAAUGGGACGCGAAUGGGCAACCUGGAGCU